UACGUAGGGUGCGAGCGUUAAUCGGAAUUACUGGGCGUAAAGCGUGCGCAGGCGGCUUUGCAAGACAGAUGUGAAAUCCCCGGGCUUAACCUGGGAACUGCAUUUGUGACUGCAUGGCUGGAGUGCGGCAGAGGGGGAUGGAAUUCCGCGUGUAGCAGUGAAAUGCGUAGAUAUGCGGAGGAACACCGAUGGCGAAGGCAAUCCCCUGGGCCUGCACUGACGCUCAUGCACGAAAGCGUGGGCAGCAAACAGG
rnacentral:rRNA from 1 species